CUGGCCAAAUUUUACAGUAACAUAUCCUUCACAGAUAACACAAUACCAGGAUGCAUUGCGACAGUAUCUGUGAAACAUACAAGAUGAUGGAUGCAGUCGAGAGAAAUAUUUCCAAUAAAUACUUACAUUUCAUGCAACAAAAACAGUUUCAGUCAAAUCCACAGCAAAAUAUUCUGUUGCUGGGGGCUACAUUGUUAUUUCUUCCUCUAAUGAGGAAGGUUUUGGAACUAAUUUCACAGUGUCAAGUACAGAGACUAAUUAAUGGACCCUGAAAGUGGAUGUUAAUGAUGGGAUUGAUGCUGUGUAUCUGUGUGCUGCUAGUUUACACACACACAAAAAUAAUUGCUUUAACAAAAAAUGCAAUAAAAUCCUGCAAUCACACCUGCCUUAACCAUGAAUAAAUAAGCCCAUAUUUGUACAAACCAGUCAGCAGAACCUGACAACUUGCACAUUCAAAUGAAUUAAUCAUGUCACACUCCUCCCUUCCGCCCUUCCUCCCUUCUUCUCUGUCUAUACUAAAGACUCAUACAAAUCUCUAUCAUCACAUUAUUUUUGUUGUGUGCGUAACCAGAGUAUUUGUAACGCUGUUGUAGAAGUAUGUUUAGAGCUGCAUAUGGACUGUGCAUUUAUUUCUUAUUAUACAUAGGGAUGGUGAAAUGUGUGAAUGUUCAACAGAACCCAACACCCAUAUUAGCCAGCGCGAAGAAUAUAACAGACAUAAAUUGUAGUUAUGAUGACAGUAACAAGCCAAACAUGUUAUGGUAUCAGCAGAAGGAUACAGCCAUGGUCUUGAUCGUGUUAAGUUACAGUGCUACAAGUGACCCCACCUAUGAGGAUGGAUUUAAAGGCCGGUUUAAAUUGGAAAGAACAGAAACACUGAAGGGAGUUCUGAAAAUCUCUGAUCUCAGUUCAUCAGACUCGGCUGUUUAUUACUGUGCUGUCAGUAUGCACAGUGCUGUAGUCUUUAUUACCUGCCUGACUAAAAACCAAACCACCAGAUAAACAGGAAAUGCACAAAAAAGCCAAUCUAAUGUUCUUGAGGUUCAAAUGUGACACUAAUGAAAAGGCUUGUUACAGCAUUUCAUUUCUACAUCAAAUAAUAUUUUUGUACAGUUUUUAAUAGAAAACACAAUCAGAUAUAAGUGUUGCUCCCAAACUGAGUACAGGAUCUACCCAGACAGCGGCAUGUGUGCUGGCCAACUUAAC
rnacentral:lncRNA from 1 species